AGUCACAUCACAUUGAAACACCAGUUCCUGUAAAAUCACCAAAGUUAAGCAAUGUUGAGCCUAGUUAGUAACUAGAUGGGUCAUCACUUAGGAAUACCAGGUGCUGUAA